rnacentral:rRNA from 1 species
UAUUUUCUACGGGAGCAGCAGGUACUCUUACGGGAGGCAGCAGUGGGGAAUUUUCCGCAAUGGGCGAAAGCCUGACGGAGCAAUGCCGCGGAAGGUAGAAGGCCUACGGGUCAGACUUCUUUACCGAGAAGAACAAGCCGUUCCGGACUUACUCCU